rnacentral:lncRNA from 1 species
UUUUAAAAAAUUUACUUCUUUGAUAUAAUACAACUUUGAAUUAUAAUAUAAUCCAAAAAACCCGCGCUUUCGAAGCGCGGGUCAAAAUCUAGUUACUAAUUGAAACAACAACCACCACACUGAGUUUUUUUGAAAAGGGAAAUACAUUUAAACAAGGACUAUAUAAAAAAGAUAAUUUUUCAAUUUUGAUCUGUAAUCUAUAUUAACAAGGUUAAACACACUCUUUUCAUGCUCUCCUCACUUUAUCAAAGAGGCUACUUACAAUAUAAAAUAAUAAUAGAAAAAGAAGGAACUUUCAUAAAAAAAAUCCAUUAUGAUAUUAAUUUCAAAUUUCAUCAAACUGAAGACAACUAAAAUAUAUAACAGUUAAUCUGACAUAAAUUUCCACACUUUAAUCACUAAACUCAAGUUUUGAGAAAUAAAUAAGAAUAACAAAAUCUCAAUAAAUGAUUAAUAUAUAUUCCAAAAUUAAAAUUAAAAAAUUGUUUGAAAGACAAAAUAAAAAUAUAUAACAAAUAUAAUAGAAACUUUAUCGAAAUAGAUAAUUUAUCCAAAAUACAUAAUAUAACACCGAAUACAUAAAUUUUAAGAAAAGAUUGGAAAAAUUCAUAACAACAAAAAUUAGGCGAAGCCAUUUACUAUAUUGUUUUCUUGCAUUGCAUGAAACCAAUGCAGACAAAAAUUAAAACCAAAAAUAUUGUAACUCAUCUAUUUUUCUUCUUUUUUGCUUUAAAAUAAGGCCAAGAAAAACUAAUAAAAUUAUUGAAAA